rnacentral:lncRNA from 12 species
AUUCCUGUAAGGAGGACACAGUCAUGUAGGUAAAUGUGUCUAAGAGAAGACCUGAAAACCCACUUUAUCACUGGGAUCACCGGUAUCUUUUAUAAGGGGAGAAAGAGAUAAUAAACAGAAAGCCUCUUCCAUCAGCCAAAAGAAGUUUAAAACGAUGGAAUGCACUUAACUUGGGAAUGCACUUGAGUUGACCUUAAGAACUGAGGAAAGAACAAUGUACAGAGUACAGCUCUGAAGACACCCAGCCAAAGUGCACCGGUGCAAGAGUAUAUUCCACAUUAGCAAGCACAAAGCUGCUGAAGCAAGGACUGUGACAAGCAACGUGUGACUAAGAGCUACACACCCUCAUGUCCAGCCAGUUUUCCACCCCUUCAUCCCCAUCACGGGCAGGACAACCGCAGCAGCCUCAGGGUCAGCGAAGAACUCCAAGUGUGAACCCGUUACUCCUUAUCCUAUCACUACAGCGACAGAUGAAGAGUCCCUUUCUGCCUGCCCUGUAGCUCCUUCAGAUUCUGGUAGGUGCUGUGUGGUCUCUACAAAACCUUCUCUUCUCCAGGCUGAGCUGACCCAAAUUUCUCAGCCUCUCUCAAUAGGG